AUUUCUUUCCUAACUUUUAAGUUUUCUUUGGCAUUAUUAUUAAAAUGUAACAGCUCACUAUGAGUGCUAUAACAACUAACAUUUUCACUCACUCUUUUUCAAGAACUUUUUAAAAAAUUCUCAUCAUCCACCAUGACUAGUAGUACUCAAUAGAUCGGAACCAAGGCAUACAGUAGUGGAAAUAGAAUCAAACCGCCGAACCAAUGACGAAAUGUAUUGCUUAUAAGCUAGAUCAAGUGGUGAUCAGUCGGUCGAUCCUCCGUAGAGCAUCUCCGUCUGACCGGAUCUUAUCUAUAUGGGAGAAGAUAUGGCCCUGUGCCCGUGUUUCUUUUGCCAAUGCAUCCGUCCGAGUGUUCCGGUUCAGAGGAAUAUGAGAAAGACUCACAUCCUCAAAAUCCUCUUGAAGUCUCUGGAAGAUCUCGAUCUCUGUCGCAAACAUUGGCCAGUCCGUCGGGUUAUUUGGAAUAUAUUUUAAAAAGUAUUCACAACGUUUUCUCUUUUUUCACAACGUUUUCUCUAAUUUGUUUUCUCGGACUACAAAAAAACAAGACACGUUUCGGUCUUUUUGUUCUUAAGAGUAACGUUAACAUUAUUUAUCUACAAGUGUUCCAAAACCUUUAACAAAAAAAAGACG